rnacentral:rRNA from 1 species
CCGGCACGGGUGAGUAACACGUAUGCAACCUGCCUGCCACAGCCGGAUAAUCGGGAGAAAUUCCGUCUAAUACGGCAUAAUGCAUCGACGGGACAUCCUGUUGGUGCCAAAGGUUAAUUCCGGUGGCGGAUGGGCAUGCGUCGCAUUAGUUAGUUGGCGGUGUAACGGACCACCAAGACGACGAUGCGUAGGGGUUCUGAGAGGAAGGUCCCCCACACUGGUACUGAGACACGGACCAGACUCCUACGGGAGGCAGCAG